rnacentral:lncRNA from 1 species
GUUUUAAGGCAUUAAAUAAGAGGAAAUUGCAUGAGGUAGAAAAGAGCUAGUUCCACAAAGAAAAGGUGAAAUUUGUGACCAUUUUGUCUUGCUGCUUCAUGAGUUUCACGUGAGUUACUUGAGUGCCACGCAGCUGCUAAGCAUUUGGCCUUGUUUUGAUGCAUUUCCUGCGUGAUAUGUGAGAAGGAUGUUGCCACACAUAUGGAUAUUCAUUUUAGCCAUGUGAAUUCUGUAAC